CCAGGGGAAAGCAGACCUGGGACCGCUGGAGGGGAACUGGGGGAAACUGGCGGGCGUUGGGAAGGCGCGGAGAAGGGAAGAAACUCACAGAGGGGCAAGAAGCUCCUCCGCGACCCCAGCUAGAGGAAAACGAGGGCCGCGUAAUCCAGGCCGUUGGCUGGCUUCUGAAUCCUGGGAGCAUUCUUUUUAUAAAAGGAGUCAGAUACCGUGAACGCUCGCCAGAUAAACUGGCUAAAACUGGGUGGGGACACAAUCCCCAAGGCUGGACACCCUUAAUGAAAAGAGUUCCCAAAUUUCCAGUCCUGGAGGGAGCAGCAGUGGCAUGACUAGGCUCAUCGCAGAGGCUGCUGGAUUUGGGGUUUUGCUUCGGGUUUUGCCCCGGGCUUCGCUGGGACUGGGGCGGAGGAGGGCGUGCAGGGGUGGAAUAGCCCUAAUUUGCUUUCCCGUCAGGCGAACGCGAGGAGGCGGCUGCGGAGCUUUCUGCAAGACAGAGGCAUGCUGGGAGAUGCCCCAGAAAUGCGCGGGGCCUGGGGUCGGGCAAGGUCAGCUGCGCAUGACUGCCUUUCCCCUGCAGCUGAUCCACAAAAGGAAAAUGAGUUGGUUUUUAAAUGGAUGAAAACAAACACCAACUCACUUUACUUGUGGAUGCGUUUUGCUGGGUUACAAACCACCUCAAAGUGCUGAGAACCAGAGUCAUAAUCUGCCACCCCGACUGCAAUCUCCACCUCCCAGGUUCAAGCACUUCAAGCAAUUCUCCUGCCUUAGCAUCCUGAGUAGCUGGGAUUACAGGCUGGAAUGCAGUGGUGUGAUCUCGGCUCAGUGCAACCUUCACCUCCUGGAUUCAAGUGAUUCCCCUGCCUCGGCUUCCUGAGUAGCUAGGACUAUAGCCAUGUGCCACCAUGCCCAGGCCUGGUGGGAGUUGCUGUAUGAGGACAGAGUCUGAUUUCAGGAAGAGUCAACCUCUCCUCUGCCUUUGUUUGAUGUCUUGCUGCCCUAGAUGAAGAAAGCUCCACAGCUGGUCAGGGGAAGUAUAGGGUAAACUCAGAAUGAGAAGUUUUUUGUUUUACUAUUAUUAUUAUUAUUUUUAAUAGAAAUGCGGGUUUCACUAUGUUGCCCAGGCUGUUCUUGAACUCCUGGGCUCAAGCCAUUGCUCUCCUUUGUCUCCCAAAGUGCUGGGAUUAUAGGUGUGAGCCACCAUACCCAGACAAGAAGUCUUUAGGAGCAACUGCAAGAUGCCAUGGCUUCUUGCCCUUCCUAAGCCAGGAACAUGCUUUAACUGUGGGAACAAAAACAGACAGACACAAUUCUCCAUCUCCACAGAUUGACAGCAGCACACAGCCUCCUAUCAGGAAGGAAUCUGUGAAAAUCUGACUUUUCAUUGGAUCGGGUGAAACAGGUUGUUAGAACAGCAAGGCACUGCUGAUUUUAUAUUGUUAGAGGAGCGGCCAUGAGAAACAGAGCCCUCGAACACCAAAUGCAAAAGGAAGGGGUUUAUUAUUAUGGCCGGAAGCCGAGUGAUAAUUUGUCCAAAUUCAGCUUGUCUAACAAAGGGAGGUUCUGCCUUUACUUAGGCGUAUACUUAUAGAUAUUACAUGUGGAAGAAUCUUAGGUUUACAGCCUUAGAAAUCACAUAUGAAAGGGUUUCAGGUUUACAGUUUUAGGAAUCACAUAUGAAAGGGUUUCAGGUUUACAGUUUUAGGAAUCACAUAUGAAAAGGUUUCAGGUUUACAGUUUUAGGAAUCACAUAUGAAAAGGUUUCAGGUUUACGGUUUUAGGAAUCACAUGUGAAAAGGUUACUGGUUUACAGUGAAAAGGUUUUGGGUUUACAGUUUUAGGAAUCACAUGUGAAAGGGUUUUGGGUUUACAGUUUUAGAAA